UACGUAGGUGGCAAGCGUUGUCCGGAUUUACUGGGCGUAAAGGGAGCGUAGGAGGAUAUUUAAGUGGGAUGUGAAAUACUCGGGCUUAACCUGGGUGCCGCAUUCCAAACUGAAUAUCUAGAGUGCAGGAGAGGAAAGUAGAAUUCCUAGUGUAGCGGUGAAAUGCGUAGAGAUUAGGAAGAAUACCAGUGGCGAAGGCGACUCUCUGGACUGUAACUGACACUGAGGCUCGAAAGCGUGGGGAGCAAACAGGAUUAGAAACCCGCGUAGUCC
rnacentral:rRNA from 1 species